rnacentral:sRNA from 1 species
GCGAACAAUGGCCGGGCUAACAAAAGCC